CAGUAGCCGCGGGAAUACGAGGGGGGCGAGCGUUGUUCGGAAUUACUGGGCGUAAAGCGUGCGUAGGCGGUGAGUUAAGUCUGCUGUGAAAUCCCCGGGCUCAACCUGGGAAUGGCAGUGGAUACUGGCUCGCUAGAGUGUGUCAGAGGAUGGUGGAAUUCCCGGUGUAGCGGUGAAAUGCGUAGAGAUCGGGAGGAACAUCAGUGGCGAAGGCGGCCAUCUGGGACAACACUGACGCUGAGGCACGAAAGCGUGGGGAGCAAACAGGAUUAGAUACCCCGGUAGUCCCUGUCUCUUAUAC
rnacentral:rRNA from 1 species